UGCCCCAGUAACGGCGAGUGAAGCGGCAACAGCUCAAAUUUGAAAUCUGGCGCCCCCCGCGGGCGCCCGAGUUGUAAUUUGCAGAGGAUGCCCUUGGCGCGGCGCCUUCCGAGUUCCCUGGAACGGGACGCCACAGAGGGUGAGAGCCCCGUACGGUCGGACGCCAAGCCUCUGUAGGGCUCCUUCGACGAGUCGAGUAGUUUGGGAAUGCUGCUCAAAACGGGAGGUAUAUGUCUUCUAAAGCUAAAUACCGGCCAGAGACCGAUAGCGCACAAGUAGAGUGAUCGAAAGAUGAAAAGCACCUUGAAAAGGGGGUUAAAAAGUACGUGAAAUUGUUGAAAGGGAAGCGCUCGUGGCCAGACUCGGCCCCGGCGAAUCACCCGGCGUUCUCGCCGGUGCACUUCGCCGGGCGCCGGGCCAGCAUCGGCCCGCGGCGGGGGACAAAGGCGCCGGGAACGUGGCUCCCCCGGGAGUGUUAUAGCCCGGCGCGCAAUGCCCCGCGGCGGGCCGAGGUCCGCGCGUAAGCAAGGAUGCUGGCGUAAUGGCCACCAGCGACCCGUCUUGAAACACGGACCAAGGAGUCGUCCUCGUGUGCGAGUGUUCGGGUGUCAAGCCCCUACGCGGAGUGAAAGCGAACGCAGGUGGGAGCCCUCGGGCGCACCAUCGACCGAUCCUGAAGUUCUCGGAUGGAUUUGAGUAAGAGCACACGGGGCCGGACCCGAAAGAAGGUGAACUAUGCCUGUGUAGGGUGAAGCCAGAGGAAACUCUGGUGGAGGCUCGCAGCGGUUCUGACGUGCAAAUCGAUCGUCAAACAUGGGCAUGGGGGCGAAAGACUAAUCGA
rnacentral:rRNA from 1 species